rnacentral:rRNA from 1 species
CCUACGGGCGGCAGCAGUGGGGAAUAUUGGACAAUGGGCGAAAGUCUGAUCCAGCCAUGCCGCGUGUGUGAAGAAGGCCUUCGGGUUGUAAAGCACUUUCAGUGGGGAAGAAAGCCUUGGGGCUAAUACCCUCGAGGAAGGACAUCACCCACAGAAGAAGCACCGGCUAACUCCGUGCCAGCAGCCGCGGUAAUACGGAGGGUGCGAGCGUUAAUCGGAAUUACUGGGCGUAAAGCGCGCGUAGGCGGUCUGAUAAGCCGGUUGUGAAAGCCCCGGGCUCAACCUGGGAACGGCAUCCGGAACUGUCAGGCUAGAGUGCAGGAGAGGAAGGUAGAAUUCCCGGUGUAGCGGUGAAAUGCGUAGAGAUCGGGAGGAAUACCAGUGGCGAAGGCGGCCUUCUGGACUGACACUGACGCUGAGGUGCGAAAGCGUGGGUAGCAAACAGGAUUAGAUACCCCUGUAGUC